rnacentral:lncRNA from 1 species
AUGUAGUCCAUUCUGUCCCUGAACUCACAGAGUUUGGCGUGCCUCUGCUGCAGCUAUAGACGUCCAUUGCCACUGCCACUGCCACUGCCAUGCCACUGCCCACUUAGGGAAAGCUUCUUUUACAACUUAAACUUGUUGGUGAUUUACCUGGGCAAUGACAAAAUUUGGGAACAUUUGCUUCUCUUGGGCUCUGCCCAUAGGCCCUUGUAGAACAGGGCCUUUGCUGGCUUUUUGGUAGUUGUAUUUGCAUUUGUAUGACUUUGUGCCCUCCAUACCAGAGACAAAAGCCUGCUUGUGGUGCACUGCACACCUCCAUUCCAGAGGAAUUUGUGGACUACCCAGGGCAAGCAGCAGUGUGUUGUAGUCUAUGCACUCUGGUAAGAGUCAUGCCAAAGUGGGCUUCACUCUACUGGAAAGCAAAGGUCAGAGGAGAGUAAAGCCUGCUGCGCACAGGUUUCUGCUUUACUCCUGCCCUCAGUGGCCAUUACUUCUGCUGUCCUGCUGGUUUCUCUGGCUGGGAUAUUGUAGAUGGUUGGGGGUGGGAGGGGUACCUUGAACAGUUUUGCUUAUUCUCAAGGGCAGCACAGGAGGGGCCUGUGGUGACAUUGUAUUGACAUUGCCACUUCUUUUACUCUGUCACUCCCUUCUCACUGUGUUUGGGGACCCCUACCUUGUCUCUGAAGGAUUCAGAUCUACCACUGGCAGAUUCAUAAAAUUGUAGGGCCAAAAUAAUAAAGCUUAAUCCUCUUCAAACAACAGAAUUGUGUCAUAGGACACGGGUGACACAGUGUUGCUUUGUCCAGUUCAUUCAGUCAGAUAGCACUAUGUGCUUGUUAACCCAUUGGCUUUAUGCAUCUUCUGCCAGAUGCUGUGUCACGGGCAGAAGAGCAUAGUUCUUCUAAGGUUUUCAGUAUUUAUGCUGCAUAGUAUCAUAUACCACAUAUGGUCGUCUUUACCUUUCCUGAACAUGAUGUGGGUACGCAUGCUCCCCUUCUCUAACUCUCCAUCCCUGCAUGCCCUUUGCCCAGCAUGUCCCCCUUUGUGUACCCAUUCCAGCUCUCAACCCUUUCAUUUUCAUUUCAUCUUUUAGGUUGGAGCAUAGCAUAGGUACUUCUAAAGCCUUCCUGAUUUCCUAAUUCAGAUCAUAGCCUUCAGUCUAUUCCCAGAAACCACUGAUCAUAAUUUUCUCAUAGCUUAGGUGACAAUAUAAGGUUUCCAGAGUGAGAGGGUAAGAGGAGGCUCUUAAUCAUUAUGAGGGUACACAGAGAAACAGGGAUAUUCCAGACAAGCCAGAAAAUAUGGCUGCCUUGUCUGUGUCCUUUCCUCCAUGUUUGUUUGAUAAAUGAGUUUGUUGCUGGGGUGGAAUAAACAGUAUACGUGUAUUUCAGUACUCUGUUUACAAUUAGGCACUCUUUAUUGUUUACUGGAUAGAAAUUUUGUUGUUCCCGUAAGGGCUAGAACUUGAGAAUAGUCUUUCCUAUGACCCCUGAGAUAGCUAGCAGAUUAAAAAUGGUAAGUAGGAGUGGGGAAAUGCAACUGAGAGGCUUGUUGACUGGUCCCUAGACCAUACCUUGGGAUAAUGGUGAUUUGUAUUCAUUCUGUGCAGCUAUGAGUAAGCAGAUGUCAAGACUUUCUCUGUGCAAUAGAACAUGAGGUCCAGGAGCCCUUAUGAAUGGUAUGGAAGAUGGUAGAACUGUGUUUCUGAAUGCAGGAACCUCACUGUGCAUGGACACAGUUCCUUAGAAAUAGACAGGUGACAGGCCCAGAAUCUGUAUGCUGUACUUGGUAUCUUCACAGUCUUCAUGAAGUCUGACUGCCUCUUGGCAAUCUAUUAAAUGCAUAACAUUUGAGAAGGUUAUAAUCACUUAGGAAGGCUGUUAGAAAUUAUGUAGUAUGGACUUCCUACAGCUCUUUUUAUGGAGUGUCACCAAGGAAUUCCUGUGAUGAAGAGCCCAGAUGACAUUAAUUCUUGGGCUUCUAUAUAUAAACGAAGGACCUGCCAUUUAAAUAGUCUGUUCACUGGCCAGAGUAGGCAGCAAAUGGGAAAAUGAAGUGAGGUGUUGAAUGUAAUACCAAGUUUAUUUCCACAUGCUUUUAACGGCUACAUUGACGUCUCUAUUUUCUAGACAGCUAUAAGAGACCUCUUUGGAGUAUCUCAAAGGUCUUUAUAAAAGAUGCAGUAUUUCACUGUCACCUCCCAUUCUCAUUUUUUCUUUAUUGCCAAGGGGCCAACAGCUAUUGAGAAGGUGGACAUUUAAAAUCGUUGAGUAACGAGCCCUUGAUUUUAUUGUAGUCUGUCUAUAUUGUGACUCCUUUGGCAAACUGUUAGUGCAGAUUUUGAGCCUUGGGUAUUGUAAUACUUUAUAUCAGGCACCCAUGCUCAGCUAGCCUCAUACUGCUUAAGUUCAUUGUAUUUGCUAUGAAAGUGAACGAGUCACUUAUCUACCCACUCAUGGCCGGCAUGAGUACUUUCCCCCUUACACUUAAGUGCUACCUUCCUGGGUGGAUUGUUUAGUGUUGAAUCCUGUGCUGUGCUUCCCUUCCUUCAUGGAUUGCACUAAAAUCCGUAGCCAACUUGUACUUGGUUUGUGCUCUCCUGCAACUAUGGAUGCAGAUACCAAAGGGAGAGCUGUAUGAUUUGGGGGUGAUUCAAGUUUUAUCUAGUCAUUUGAGUCCCUUGUCAGUAAUUGGGAUUGUAGCUCAGUCGUCCAACGUGAAAGAGACCCCUGGGUUUAAUACAUACUGGCAAAAAGAACAAGACAAGACCAGACUUAACUAAAACAAGACAGACUGUCAUCUGUUGCAGCCUAAAGUUGUAGCUCAGUUGUAGAGUGUGUGCCUUGUGAGCCCAGUGUGCCCAGGGCUCAGUAUGUGCGAAGUAAAGAUAAAUCCCUUUAUGAGCUGUUAGAAAGUACACAUGCACUAGUGUAGACUAGAGGUGGAGCUGGGCACGCAGGGCUUUCGUGGUCCUCCUGUAAACAGCUGGGUGAGGAGGGCGAGAGAGAAGAGGCUACCCGUCCUCCUUCCCUCUGAUGCUUCCUCAUGCGGCCUGGCAUUCAGGACAGUUGUGGUGUUAGGAGAGCAAGAGUGUUUGUUUGGACUAAGGCCUGGGUUUUGAGUCAGCUCCAUGUACAAUGUGUAUUAAACGUGUUAUACAGCAGCCAUUGCCCAUCAUAUCCUCACUCCCUUUCCUUGUCGCUUUCCCUUAGGGGCACAUAAUUUUUUACUCGAUAUUAUGUUAAAGACUGGCCAUAGGUGUCAUACCUGCUUAUGGCUGCUUCAGUUCAGGAGUUGCUAAUAUUUAGAUAGUUGUUGUACUUACCUUUAAUACACACACACACACACACACACACACACACACACACACACACACACACACAGUGUUUGUUUCCAGGAUUAGCAAUCAUCCGUGAAGUCAGAACUCGUUUUGCAUACAGUUAGCAUGUUACAAUGGAGGCCCACCAAGGAAGCAUUUGGGGCUUUCUCCUUAGUCUUUAGAGUGGUUUGAUUCUAAUCACGUUAAAAUAAUAUUUCACUACUUCUGAUUUUCCUAAUUAUCAUGCAGAUAAACAGUAGGGAUCAUGACAUUAGAAUAAGUGAGCAGCUUAUGAUUUUUGCCUCAGAAAAAGAAACUCUUGCUGUUUUCCUCCCCCCUUGAGCUACACAGCAGUAACAAAUGAGCAAGUCCAGAGUACUUUAUGAUAGAUAGUUAAUGGUGCUGCGCCUCCGCCAUCAGGCUUGUUCCCACAGCAUCUGUCACAGUUCAGAGUCAUUAGCAUACCUUUAAUGGUUUCUUUUCAAAAUAAUUUCUACUAGGGCAUUUAGAAUGCAUCAAGGAAAAAUAUUGAGUUGUAGAGAUGAGGAAUUUUAAAUGUAGACAAAUGGAUUUCAUUCCCCUUUGUAAUUUUGAUAAAACCCAAACCGCAUAGCAACACACCACAAAGUAUAAUGCAUUUCACAACAUUUAACGUACUACCUAGGAAUUACUUUUUUAAGCAUUCUAAAUAAAACACUUUUUAAAAUAAAGAGGUUUAAUUUACAAAUUAAAAAAACAAAUUGCUGGGUUUUGUUAAGGGAUUAAUCCCAUGAUAAGCCUUAUUCUGCCCAGUGUUUUUGUACAGCAUCUCACACUCUUGUCUUGUAGUCAGCCAGGAAAUGAUAGGAUUCUUAUAAGAUGAAAACUGGUUUUUACACACAUACACACACACACACACACACACACACACACACACACACUUCCCAUAACUAAAUGGAUGAAUACCAGUAAUGU